rnacentral:rRNA from 1 species
CCGCGUGAGGGAUGACGGCCUUCGGGUUGUAAACCUCUUUCGACAGGGACGAAGCGCAGUGACGGUACCUGUAGAAGAAGCACCGGCCAACUACGUGCCAGCAGCCGCGGUAAUACGUACGGUGCGAGCGUUGUCCGGAAUUACUGGGCGUAAAGAGCUUGUAGGCGGUUUGUCGCGUCUUCUGUGAAAACUUGGGGCUCAACCUUAAGCUUGCAGGCGAUACGGGCAGACUAGAGUACUUCAGGGGAGACUGGAAUUCCUGGUGUAGCGGUGAAAUGCGCAGAUGUCAAGAGGAACACCGGUGGCGAAGGCGGGUCUCUGGGAAGUAACUGACGCUGAGAAGCGAAAGCGUGGGUAGCGAACAGGAUUAGAUACCCUGGUAGUCCACGCCGUAGACGGUGGGUACUAGGUGUGGGUUUCCUUCCACGGGAUCCGUGCCGUAGCUGACGCAUUAAGUACCCCGCCAGGGGAGUACGGCCGCAAGGCUAAAACUCAGAGGAAUUGACGGGGGCCCGCACAAGCGGCGGAGCAUGUGGAUUAGUUCGAUGCAACGCGAAGAACCUUACCUGGGUUUGACAUACACCGGAUACCUGCACAGAUGUAGGCCCCCUUGUGGUCGG